rnacentral:rRNA from 1 species
AGUGAACGCUGGCGGCGUGCCUAAUACCUGCAAGUCGAACGGAGUGGCGCACGGGUGAGUAAUGUAUAGCUAAUCUGCCCUACACUAGAGGACAACAUUUGGAAACGACUGCUAAUACUCUAUAGUGUAGGAUGAGGCUAUAUUGUAUCAGCUAGUUGGUGAGGUAAUGGCUCACCCAGGCUAUGCCGAAUAACUGGUCUGUGAGGAUGAUCAGUCACACGGGAACUGAGACACGGUCCAGACUCCUACGGGAGGCAGCAGUAGGGAAUAUUGCUCAAUGGGGGAAUCCCUGAAGCACCAUCGCCGCGUGGAGGAUUACACUUGUCGGAGCGUAAACUCCUGUUGUUAUGGAAGCGGUACCUAACGAAUAAGCACCGGCUAACUCCGUGCCAGCAGCCGCGGUAAUUC